GACGAACGCUGGCGGCGUGCCUAAUACAUGCAAGUCGAACGCUGAAGGAGGAGCUUGCUUCUCUGGAUGAGUUGCGAACGGGUGAGUAACGCGUAGGUAACCUGCCUGGUAGCGGGGGAUAACUAUUGGAAACGAUAGCUAAUACCGCAUAAGAGUAGAUGUUGCAUGACAUUUGCUUAAAAGGUGCAAUUGCAUCACUACCAGAUGGACCUGCGUUGUAUUAGCUAGUUGGUGGGGUAACGGCUCACCAAGGCGACGAUACAUAGCCGACCUGAGAGGGUGAUCGGCCACACUGGGACUGAGACACGGCCCAGACUCCUACGGGAGGCAGCAGUAGGGAAUCUUCGGCAAUGGACGGAAGUCUGACCGAGCAACGCCGCGUGAGUGAAGAAGGUUUUCGGAUCGUAAAGCUCUGUUGUAAGAGAAGAACGAGUGUGAGAGUGGAAAGUUCACACUGUGACGGUAUCUGACCAGAAAGGGACGGCUAACUACGUG
rnacentral:rRNA from 1 species